UUCUGUCUAACUCCCAUUUUUCUUUUUACAUUUUCAAACUCUACUUAGAACCUUCUGAAGAUCCAACAGGGAAAAAUGGACAUUCAUGCAAUUUUUUAACUGGUCUGAACAUUUGGAUCAGGAGUCUAUGAAGAGACAUGCAUUACAG